AUGAACGCUGGCGGCGUGCUUAACACAUGCAAGUCGAACGCGAAAUGUAGACGGAAACCUUCGGGCGGAAGCCUUCAUUUCGAGUGGCGGACGGGUGAGUAACGCGUGGGUAACCUGCCUCAUACAGGGGGAUAACAGUUGGAAACGACUGUUAAUACCGCAUAAGACCACAGCAUCGCAUGAUGCGGGGGUAAAAACUCCGGUGGUAUGAGAUGGACCCGCGUUCGAUUAGCCAGUUGGCGGGGUAACGGCCCACCAAAGCGACGAUCGAUAGCCGAUCUGAGAGGAUGACCGGCCACAUUGGGACUGAGACACGGCCCAAACUCCUACGGGAGGCAGCAGUGGGGAAUAUUGCACAAUGGGGGAAACCCUGAUGCAGCGACGCCGCGUGAGUGAAGAAGUACUUCGGUAUGUAAAGCUCUAUCAGCAGGGAAGAAAAUGACGGUACCUGAGUAAGAAGCCCCGGCUAACUACGUG
rnacentral:rRNA from 1 species